GCGCCUGUGGCUCAAUCGGAUAGAGCAACGGACUACGAAUCCGUGGGUUGGGGGUUCGAGUCCCUCCAGGCGCG
rnacentral:tRNA from 1 species